GCCUUGGGCGGUGUGCAGGGGCGCGUUUGGGUUGCUGGCGGGGGAUCCACUUGAACUUCUUGACGUGUCUGUCCCUAAUCAUUCGUUUGGGGGGGGCCAUGCGCAUAGCGCGCGGGUCCGGGAGUUGCCGGACGGGGUCGCCAUGUUUCGUGGCGGGCGCCGGCUCCAGUUGGCGUGGUCUUUUCUUGAGGGAGAGCAUGUUCCUUCUGGCAUCGGUGUGCGCAUGCUUGGGGCGUCGGUCCUUGGCUUGGUUCUCGGGUCCCUUGGGCCUGACAGGUGGGCGCGGGCGAUGUGUCGACAUCGGGAGCGCUUGGUUCGGCUUGCAUUGGUGAAGGAGGGUGGCUGGCUCCUCAGCCCUAAUUGGCUUUUUUGAAACACUAAGAGGACUGUUCCUAUCGUAACUGUUCGUCGCCGGCC
rnacentral:lncRNA from 1 species